GUUCUGCCACCGUAAAAGCCUGAGAAGGAGGAGUGUAGCCUACCGCAGAACAGGAGACGUUUUACUUUACCACACCUCGACUCGUGAGCUGACCGUUUUAAAGAUAUCAUGUUCGUUUGAGAGAGAAAGCGGAUUCCACACUGAUGUUACGGCCCUACAGUACCUGAGGCAGUGGAAAUCUGGGGAGACGAGCAUCCACAGGAGAUUCAGUGAGAGGGAAGAGGGCGUCCAGAGAGAACCAGGGCCUCCGGACCCACUCAGAGCAAAGCAGCAGCACAGCAGGGAUGAGCGAGUUCUGGCACAAGAUUGGCUGCUGCGUGGUGGCCAAACCUCCACCGAGAAAGAGGCGCAGGAAAAUCGACCGCAGCAUGAUCGGCGAGCCCACAAACUUUGUCCACUUGACACACAUUGGCUCUGGGGAGAUGGCAGAGGGCCGGGCCCCGUCAGGGCCGGUCCAGGAUAAGAUGAGGUCGAAAGGACCCAGUGCCAACGGCUGCAGGAGCAUGUUAUAGCUGCUGCCUACCAAGCAUGGAGAACCAUUUCCAUCCUCCUCUAUGCGCCCCUCUCAUCCCAAAUCAAAAGCAGUCACUGCAGCGUAACCUGUUUCUAAUGGAGCACUUGGCAAACCUGAGAGCGGACCUAAUAGAGAGCAGAGAGGCUCUUCCUGACGUCUGCAGGAUCCAUUUAGCCAAACAGGACGAUGCCCUUUCUGUGGUCACCACAAGAAUCGCCCUGCUCAGAGGAGGAUGGACUGAUGUUUUUGAUGCUUUUUAAAGAAAAGUAUUUGUCUUUCUGAUGGACUUUGGACUUCCACUGUAUUUCAGCCAACAACGUUUCUGUGUCACGGCCAGCAAGCGUGUGUGAGAGGGCCGGUGAGAGUGUUUAGCAAAAUUUGUUGACUAACAUGGCUGAUUCCAUUUCAGGAAGUGAAGAUUAUGUUCUCAAGGAUCACCUGAAUGUUGUAAACCAUUGACCUACUGCCAAACAAAUAGUAUCCAAAAUAUCUUGCGUAUCUGUCUAAUGAAUGAGGAUGCACCUUUAUUUUCCCACAGUGCAUAGUUAAAGGUGUCUUUGUGUGUGUUUAUAAGUGCAAAAUGCUAUGUGAUUUUGUUGCUGUUUAGAUGCCAGUACUGAGUAGUGUUAUUUUGAUUGUACCAGUUGCUAUAGAGCCCCAUUUGGACUGCUACCCAGUUGCCAUAGAACCCCAUUUGGACUGCUACCCAGUUGCCAUAGAACCCCAUUUGGACUGCUACCCAGUUGCCAUAGAACCCCAUUUGGACUGCUACCCAGUUGCCAUAGAACCCCAUUUGGACUGCUACCCAGUUGCCAUAGAACCCCAUUUGGACUGCUACCCAGUUGCCAUAGAACCCCAUUUGGACUGCUACCCAGUUGCAAGCAUACAGGUAACUGCCAAAAUAAAGGAAACCCCAACAUGGUGUCUUAAUAGGGCAUUGGGCACCACGAGCCAGAACCGCUUCAAUGCACCUUGGCAUAGAUUCUACAAGUAUCUGGAACGCUUGGAGGGAUGCUACACCAUUUUUUUCCACCAGAAAUUCCAUCAUUUGGUGUUUUGUUGAUGGUGGUGGAAAACGCUGUCUCAGGCUCCGCUCCAGAAUCUCCUAUAAGUGUUCAAUAAGGUUGAGAUCUGGUGACUGAGACGGCCGUGGCAUAUGGCUUACAUCCUUUUCAUGCUCAUCAAACCAUUGUGACCACUUGUGCCCAGUGGAUGGGUCAUUGUAAUCCUGGAAGAGACCACUCCCAUCAGGGUAGAUCUGUUUCACCCUACAGUAGGUAGAAGGUGAUCACUCAGAAUGGCUGUGUAUUUAUUGGAGUUUACCUUGUCCUCCAUGGGGUUGAGUGGACCUAAACCAUGCCAGGAAAAUGCACCUCCACACCAUAACAGAGCUGCCAAUAAGUACCCUCAUUUACUCAAGUGUUUCCUUUUAUUUUAGCAGGUCCCUGUAGCUGGUCACUGUGAUACACAAUUUACUAGCACCUACUCUGAAAAACCCAAACUAUUAGUCAGCGGGAAGAGUCUGUUAGUAACACGGGUUGUUGUUGAAAUUCGAAACACCCUGACCAUUACGGGGCUUUCCAGUGAUCUAUCCUGGAAUUAUGCCACUCAUUAAAUCAACUGCAUCGAAGGAACAUUCCAGAAGGUAGUUUGUUCUCUUGUCGAGGGGGAUGUCCACCCCCUUGAUCAGAAUGGAACAUUUCAACCAUUUCACUGUGCAUUCCCCUUGUAAUUUCUAUAUGGCCUCCCACUUGAGCUUGUUGUAGGUGACGUGCCCUCCAAGCUGGCUUGUGACCCACAUGACAUCCACACGAUAGUGACAUACAUUCUGAAACCAGGUGGCAGUUUUAAACAUCUGAUUUAAAUCAUACAGUAGAAAUGAAAGUUUGUUUCCUGUACACAACUGUAUUUCUGACGUGCUUAGUAUACACAAUCUGUGAAUAACUCGUCACGCUCUGUCGUUUUUUUGCUAAGUGUGUCCAUACGGGGAAAAACUCACUGUUUGAAUUGGAAUGUUUUUUUAAUAUUGUAUCUUAUGUGAUUUAGCUAGGCCAGUAUCCUAUGUGAUUUAGCUAGGCCAGUAUCCUAUACCAGAACAUAUGGCGUAUGGAUGGUGUAGAACAUGUACAGUAUGUUGUCCCUUUCACUAAUACCGUAUGUGUUUUAUACACUGGGCCUAAUGUUUACUUAAUGCUGAAGGGUGACUUUGCAUAUUGCUUGGUGGCUUUCCUAUCUUUGUUAGAGCAUGUAAUCCUGGGUAAAUUCUCAGCCCAACAGAAUGACUGCUGCCUUGAAGUUUCUUGAACAGUGUACAUUGGGAACGUCAGUCAUUUGAGUCUGUUGGCAUUUUAAGUUUCUAUCCCAUCUUUAUCAUGAUUGUUGUUAGACCAAAGCUUGAGUUCAUUAGAAAUGAUUUGUGCAACCUCUUGAUUCUUCCUGGAAAUACAGUUCACAUUCUGAAUAGAAUUCUAGGGGAGUAAUCUCUUCUGAUGUUGAAUGUUAUCACCAAAUGUGUUACUCAAUUUUCACUGCCUGGUACAGAAAUAAUAGAAUUUCAACCAACUGGUUCCAGUGGCCCCUAUGGGCUCUGCUGUGAACAUUUCUGGGAGAUUGUAUCAUUUUCAUUGAAGUUAAAGUGGGAAUCUAUAGUUGCUACAUCCAUUUUGGGAUUUAUAAAUGAUAUAUACCCAUUGAUUCUUGAAUAUCUUAUAAAUGCCUUAGUUCAACUAUAUUGUUGAUAUCAUGGAUGUUCAGUCCUUGCAUUAAUAGCUCUGAGUUUGAGAGCGGUUACAUUUCUCCAGGCCCAUCCUUCAGCGUUUUACCAAAACACAGGCAGGGUGACUGCUUUGUUAUUGUUUCAAUUAAGGAUUCUAGCUUUAAUCUCAAACUAUUUCAACAAACACAUCUCACUGAAUCCAUCUGGUAUAGCACAAAUAUUGCAAUCUAAACAAAUGCCCUAAAAUAAAUGGAAUGUACACUAUAGUCUGUGUAUGUCUCUCUUUUAAAAACAUGCAUAACAAAGAUGUUAAAUGAUGCAACUAACAAUGCAAAUAGUUGGUAUGGAAAUCUUGUUCUAAGAGCAGCCCAGGGUUGAGUGAAUAGAUGGGUGCAAGGAUCAUGUUCCAGCAGCAAAACCCACUGGAACAGAAGAUUACAAUUUAACGGGAGUAGACUCCAUGAACUGUCUAACCAUGUGAAAUACAGUCCUAAGAAGAGGACGGGUGUAGUCUACGGGGUGUCUAGUCGAGGACGGGUGUAGUCUACGGGGUGUCU
rnacentral:lncRNA from 1 species